UUGGAGGGCAAGUCUGGUGCCAGCAGCCGCGGUAAUUCCAGCUCCAAUAGCGUAUAUUAAAGUUGUUGCAGUUAAAAAGCUCGUAGUUGAAUUUCGGAAUCCAUCCGUCGGUCGGGCUUCACGGUCCGCACUGGUGUGAUGGAUUCCUACCUUCUGAAUAACCAGCAUGUCAUUAAUUUGGUGCGUUGGGGAAGCAGGACUGUUACCUUGAAAAAAUUAGAGUGCUUAAAGCAGGCUAGUGCCUGAAUACAUUAGCAUGGAAUAAUGAAAUAGGACGGCAUGGUUCUAUUUUGUUGGUUUCUAGGAUCACCGUAAUGAUUAAUAGGGAUAGUUGGGGGCAUUAGUAUUCAAUUGUCAGAGGUGAAAUUCUUGGAUUUAUUGAAGACUAACUUCUGCGAAAGCAUUUGCCAAGGAUGUUUUCAUUAAUCAAGAACGAAAGUUAGGGGAUCGAAGACGAUCAGAUACCGUCGUAGUCUUAACCAUAAACUAUGCCGACUAGGGAUCGGACGAUGUUAAUUUUUUAAUGACUCGUUCGGCGCCUUACGGGAAAC
rnacentral:rRNA from 1 species